rnacentral:rRNA from 1 species
AGAGCGAACGCUGGCGGCAGGCCUAACACAUGCAAGUCGAGCGCCCGUAGCAAUACGGGAGCGGCAGACGGGAUAGUAACACGUGGGAACGCGCCCUUCGGUUCGGAAUAACUCAGGGAAACUUGAGCUAAUACCGGAUACGCCCUUACGGGGAAAGAUUUAUUGCCGAAGGAACGGCCCGCGCCCGAUUAGCUAGUUGGUGAGGUAAUGGCUCACCAAGGCGACGAUCGGUAGCUGGUCUGAGAGGAUGACCAGCAUCACUGGGACUGAGACACGGCCCAGACUCCUACGGGAGGCAGCAGUGGGGAAUAUUGGACAAUGGGCGCAAGCCUGAUCCAGCCAUGCCGCGUGGAUGAUGAAGGCCUUAGGGUUGUAAAGUCCUUUUAACGGGGAAGAUAAUGACGGUACCGUAGAAUAAGCCCCGGCUAACUUCGUGCCAGCAGCCGC